rnacentral:tRNA from 1 species
AGCCAAGCGGUAAGGCAAGGGACUUUGACUCCCUCAUGCGUUGGUUCGAAUCCAGAGAUC